GCACCUGAAUCUUUCCUAUUCCUUGCUGUGCAGUGCAGGUCUGGGGACAGUUGGUGCUACAGCACAGCAGAGGAAAUCCAGAUGGGUUGCUUUUCCACUUGCUUGGAGCUCAUCUCUACAACUCUGCAACAUUU
ensembl:snoRNA